GUUCAAGAUACUAAGGGCACAUGGUGGAUGCCUUGGUGCUGGAAGUCGAUGAAGGACGUGGUCAGCUGCGAUAAGCUUCGGGUAGGUGCGACAACCUUUGAUCCGGAGAUUUCCGAAUGGGGAAACCCGGCUGGAGUCAUAUCCAGUCAUCUCAUACCCAAGUUGCUUGCAUAUUAAGUAUGAGAGGAGAAGUCGGCGAACUGAAACAUCUAAGUAGCCGGACAAGAGAAA
rnacentral:rRNA from 1 species